AGUCGAACGGAGACAGCACGAAGCUUGCUUUGAGCUGUUUUAGUGGCGGACGGGUGAGUAACGCGUGAGGAACCUGCCUUUCAGAGGGGGAUAACGUCUGGAAACGGACGCUAAUACCGCAUGACAUUCCGGUGUCACAUGGCACUGGAAUCAAAGGAGCAAUCCGCUGGAAGAUGGACUCGCGUCCGAUUAGCCAGUUGGCGGGGUAACGGCCCACCAAAGCGACGAUCGGUAGCCGGACUGAGAGGUUGAACGGCCACAUUGGGACUGAGACACGGCCCAGACUCCUACGGGAGGCAGCAGUGGGGGAUAUUGCACAAUGGAGGAAACUCUGAUGCAGCAACGCCGCGUGAGGGAAGACGGUCUUCGGAUUGUAAACCUUUGUCCCUGGUGACGAUAAUGACGGUAGCCAGGGAGGAAGCUCCGGCUAACUACGUGCCAGCAGCCGCGGUAAUACGUAGGGAGCGAGCGUUGUCCGGAUUUACUGGGUGUAAAGGGUGCGUAGGCGGCUCUGCAAGUCAGGUGUGAAAGCCAUCGGCUUAACUGAUGGACUGCAUUUGAAACUGUGGGGCUUGAGUGGAGCAGAGGCAGACGGAAUUCCCGGUGUAGCGGUGAAAUGCGUAGAGAUCGGGAGGAACACCAGUGGCGAAGGCGGUCUGCUGGGCUUUAACUGACGCUGAGGCACGAAAGCAUGGGUAGCAAACAGGAUUAGAUACCCUGGUAGUCCAUGCUGUAAACGAUGAUUACUAGGUGUGGGGGGUCUGACCCCCUCCGUGCCGGAGUUAACACAAUAAGUAAUCCACCUGGGAAGUACGACCGCAAGGUUGCGGGGGCCCGCACAAGCAGUGGAGUAUGUGGUUUAAUUCGAAGCAACGCGAAGAACCUUACCAGGUCUUGACAUCUACCGAAUUCCGCAGAGACGCGGGAGUGCCCUUCGGGGAGCGGUAAGACAGGUGGUGCAUGGUUGUCGUCAGCUCGUGUCGCGAGAUGUUGGGUUAAGUCCCGCAACGAGCGCAACCCUUGUGAUUAGUUGCUACGCAAGAGCACUCUAAUCAGACUGCCGUUGACAAAACGGAGGAAGGUGGGGACGACGUCAAAUCAUCAUGCCCCUUAUGACCUGGGCUACACACGUACUACAAUGGCCGUCAACAGAGGGAAGCAAAACCGCGAGGCGGAGCAAACCCCCAAAAACGGUCUCAGUUCGGAUCGCAGGCUGAAACCCGCCUGCGUGAAGCUGGAAUUGCUAGUAAUCGCGGAUCAUCAUGCCGCGGUGAAUACGUUCCCGGGCCUUGUACACACCGCCCGUCACACCAUGGGAGCCGGUAAUACCCGAAGUCGGUUGUCUAACCGCAAGGAGG
rnacentral:rRNA from 1 species